UGUAGCUCAGUUGAUAGAGUGAUUGCCUUGCACACAAGAUGCCCUGGGUUUGACUCCUAGCA
rnacentral:tRNA from 1 species